rnacentral:rRNA from 1 species
CCCUUAGAUGUUCUGGGCUGCACGCGUGCUACACUGAUAUUGCCAAUAUGUCAUUCUUAUCCGAAAUGGAUUGGGUAAUCAAGUAAUGAAAUUUCAUGCUUGGAAUCGGUAAUUGCAAUUUUAUCGUGAACGAGGAAUUCCUAGUAAGCACUAGUCAUCAGCUAAUGUUGAUUAUGUCCCUGCCCUUUGUACACAUCGCCCGUCGCUACUACUGAUUGGGUGUUCAAGUGAGAUGCUUAGACCCUUGUUGCAUGGUUCAUUAUUGUGCUCCGAAAGGAAAAAGUUUCAAGCUUGAGUGUCUAGAGGAAGUAAAAGUCGUAACA